CAGGGGCGGAGCCGGAGAUGCUCCGCCCGCCGCAGAGCGGGGCUCCAGCGUCCCGACGGUGCGCGGCGGCCGGACCGGGCUAGCUGGCGGGCGGAGCCGGGCCCGCGGGGCUGCCGCGGGGCGAUCGGGCCGGGCUGCGGGCGGCGCCAUGGGCCCUUGCGUCCAGCCUGAGUUCCAGCCUCGCUGAGCCGACCGCCCUGCGAGCUUCCUCCCGCGGAAGCGUCCCCAGGCGCUGACCAUGUCUAUUAUGGACCACAGCCCCACCACGGGCGUGGUCACGGUCAUCGUCAUCCUCAUCGCCAUCGCGGCCCUGGGGGCCUUGAUCCUGGGCUGCUGGUGCUACCUGCGGCUGCAGCGCAUCAGCCAGUCGGAAGACGAGGAGAGCAUCGUGGGGGAUGGCGAGACCAAGGAGCCCUUCCUGCUGGUGCAGUACUCCGCCAAGGGACCGUGCGUGGAGAGGAAGGCCAAGCUGACCCCCAGCGGCCCAGAAGUCCACGGCUGAGCCGGGAUGCCGAGGCCCCCAGGCCCGCUUGCGGGCGGGGGCCGCUGAGAGCAUGGAGGCCAGAGCCACGAACCACACGGCUUAGUCACGGCCUCUCAUUCGGUUCUCUCUCAGGAGCCCAACUGUUGUGCUGAGGUCUUCCAACGGGUCGGUCAGGAAAUCAGCCUUUCAUCCCGCGAGUCCUCACAGAAGCAACAGGGGGGUGGGGAGGGAACCCGGUGGCUGAGCUGCAGAGACGCCGACCGACGUUUCAGCCACAUCUUCAAACGGGCUGGGCUACCGCUUCCGUCUCAAAGCUACCAAAUCUGUGCCAUGAGCGGAGGGAUGUCAUCCCUGUUCCAAGAAAAGCUGAAUGACACUCAACGUGAUUUUCUAGACCACUGAGAAAAUCUUUAUUUACAAUAAAUUUCAAUAAAAUUUGCAUAAAUAUAUUCCCAACGUA